rnacentral:rRNA from 1 species
AACGAACGCUGGCGGCAUGCCUAACACAUGCAAGUCGAACGAGACCUUCGGGUCUAGUGGCGUACGGGUGCGUAACGCGUGGGAACCUGCACUUAGGUUCGGAAUAACUCUCCGAAAGGGGUGCUAAUACCGGAUAAUGUCUUCGGACCAAAGAUUUAUUGCCUUUGGAUGGGCCAGAGUUGGAUUAGCUAGUUGGUAGGGUAAAAGCCUACCAAGGCGACAAUCCAUAGCUGGUCUGAGAGGAUGAUCAGCCACACCGGGACUAGGACACGGCCCAGACUCCUACGGGAGGCAGCAGUGGGGAAUAGUGCAAAAUGGGCGAAAGCCUGAUCCAGCAAUGCCGCGUGAGUGAUGAAGGCCUGAGGGUUGUAAAGCUCUUUUACCCAUGAUGAUAAUGACAGUACCGGGAGAAUAAGCUCCGGCUAACUCCGUG